AACGAACGCUGGCGGCAGGCCUAACACAUGCAAGUCGAACGCCCUAGCAAUAGGGAGUGGCAGACGGGUGAGUAACACGUGGGAACCUUCCCUAUAGUACGGAAUAGCCCAGGGAAACUUGGGAGUAAUACCGUAUAAGCCCGAGAGGGGAAAGAUUUAUCGCUAUAGGAUGGGCCCGCGUCGGAUUAGCUAGUUGGUGAGGUAAUGGCUCACCAAGGCGACGAUCCGUAGCUGGUUUGAGAGAACGACCAGCCACACUGGGACUGAGACACGGCCCAGACUCCUACGGGAGGCAGCAGUGGGGAAUAUUGGACAAUGGGCGAAAGCCUGAUCCAGCCAUGCCGCGUGAGUGAUGAAGGCCUUAGGGUUGUAAAGCUCUUUUGUCGGGGACGAUAAUGACGGUACCCUGGGAAUAAGCAUCGGCUAACUCCGUG
rnacentral:rRNA from 1 species